GUCAAAACUCAAAUGCUAGCGACCCUGCAGACAGAAGUUGUUGUUGAGUUUAACCAGUUUUUUUCACAUUUGGGAUUUUACACACCCGCGGAGACUUGAAGACAUUUGACAGAAUGGAUCGUGUCCCUUAUUAUGGCAGCUGGUAAGCAAUGGGAUGUCUGUAAGGUCAAACAGAAUAAAACCAAUGGCCUUCUGCGAUCUUGCCUGCAUCUUUCUGCUGAAAAGAACAUGAAGCAGGUGGAUAUUAUAAAUAAGGAAGAAUUAGAUAAAGAAAGAUUCCAAGUGCACAGUCCAGGCAAAGCGAAGCGAUUGUCAUCUUGCAAGAGGAAGGGUUUCCCAUCGGUGGAGGUGGGCUCGAAGCUGCACCGCAGAACAUCCAAUGUAGGCCGUGCCCGUGACCCCGGCAUGGCCAACAAAGAAAAUGAGCUGACGUGCUCCGAUGACGUGCGGGGCAUUCACCACAAUGACAACUGCGGGCUCCCUGUGAACUCCGCAGAGGCCUCCAAGAUGGCAGGGGCCAGCUCCAAGUACAGCGACUUUACAGAACUAUCAAAGGAUCAUGAAGCUAUGACUCACGUCCUUUUCGGAAGGAACCUUCGACUUAAAGUAGCCCAAACACUAUGGCGAAGAAAUGCCAGUGAAUUAGUGGCCUAUCUAAUAAGAAUUCAAGACACAGGGGUGCUGCUCGACUGCUUACCUGUCUUAACAAACAAUCUUCAAACUGAAGCACCAUGUUUAUCACUUGGAUGCUGCGUUGACCUCAUGCCCCAAGUGAAAAUGAUUCUUGCCAGUAAAUAUGAAGAACACAUAAUGGUGGGUUUACACUGGGUUCAAUCCAUCAUCAGGAAAUGGUGGCCAGAGCUUUCAAAAAAUGAGAAAAGACUGCGGGACAGUUGUUCAGAAGACAGCAUUCAUAGGCUCAAACCAGAUAUACUUGCAUGUUGAUUACACCACCGCAACCAGACUUCUUUCACCACAGAGUGUACAAACAGCUGCAGUAAGAUUUUUUUUCUUUUCUUUUCUUUUCUUUUUUUAAAAAUGAUGAAAUAAAAAUGGCACAAAAGUUUUGAUUUUUCCUCCUUUCUAGUGCCUGGUAAUUUUACCUACUUGUGCUUGACGGUAAACAAAGGAGGUGAAUGUGAUUUAUUGUUGUUGCUGUUUUAAAAUAUUAUUACACCCACAUGCCUUAGACCAGAAUAUUAACUAUGGUGUCACAAUGUGGAUAAAAAGAUGUUGAAUUGUAAUCAACUCAAAAAUAUGACUUCCAGCUUCAGAAGAUAUUUGUUAAAAGACGAUCAUGUACAUUUCUGAUAGCAGUUGGGAUUCAUUUGCAUCAGCAGAGCUCUUGGUAGGGAUGGAAGAGAGGGUGGGUUGGGGGAUUCUACAGUCAGUGAGUGGGGGUCAUGUGCACACUUGCUGUUACAGUAAUGCUUGUAUGUGCAUUGCAGGAAUAUUGAAGUCAUGAAGCAGCGGCUGAAGGACUUGUGGAAGGAUGGUGCCCGGUUGUGUUUGGUUCCUGGAUCUACGGGAGAAAUGGCAAAGGCCAUCGAAGCUUAUCUUUCACAGCUGCCCUGACAGUUGUCAAAGUAACACUCUUGAGGAUGUGACCACUACUGCCGGAUCAUGGCUGUGUUUUGAACUGAUAAUGAUGCCAGAGAAAUGGACUGGUUCAUUCUGCCCCUCAAACUCGAAACCUCUUAACUGGGACUGAUAACAACACUUCAGACUCCUUCAGUUAGAGCUGGAGACACUUAAGAAGGGGCCAGGAGAGCUUUUCUGCUAAACAAAAAACAAACAAACAUUUAAAAAAAAAAAAGAAGAAAAAAACACAGCAAAUGACUGCUUCACAUUGAAGUGGACCGUCUUGUGAAGGGGCAUAUAGCUGACCUCCAUGAGACUGGAUGUACGUCGCUCUAUGAAGUGCCAAGCUCUUCGUCUCUCAUUACACUACUCUUUGCCAUGGAAUGCAAAUGCACUUGUGGAUGUAAUGAAUGCUCCGCUGUUUUGAUGUUUUUUUAAUCCUGGGUUCUUUGGAAUCAGGAACUUGAAUCUGCAGCAGUCUUAAGUUAUUAGAGCUCCUCUUGUUUUCAUUUUUGCCUCCUUAUGACAUUUGACUGUAUAAUGUAAAAUGUAAAAACAAGUGAUUCUUUUAAUCUUCUUUUAAAUAAAUUUGAUA